CCUACGGGGGGCAGCAGUGAGGAAUAUUGGUCAAUGGACGAGAGUCUGAACCAGCCAAGUAGCGUGAAGGAUGACUGCCCUAUGGGUUGUAAACUUCUUUUAUAUGGGAAUAAAAUGUUCCACGUGUGGGAUUUUGUAUGUACCAUAUGAAUAAGGAUCGGCUAACUCCGUGCCAGCAGCCGCGGUAAUACGGAGGAUCCGAGCGUUAUCCGGAUUUAUUGGGUUUAAAGGGACCGUAGGUGGAUUGUUAAGUCAGUUGUGAAAGUUUGCGGCUCAACCGUAAAAUUGCAGUUGAAACUGGCAGUCGUGAGUACAGUAGAGGUGGGCGGAAUUCGUGGUGUAGCGGUGAAAUGCUUAGAUAUCAGGAAGAACUCCGAUUGCGAAGGCAGCUCACUGGACUGCAACUGACACUGAGGCUCGAAAGUGUGGGUAUCAAACAGGAUUAGAUACCCUUGUAGUC
rnacentral:rRNA from 1 species